AGCAGCCGCGGUAAUUCCAGCUCCAAUAGCGUAUAUUAAAGUUGUUGCAGUUAAAAAGCUCGUAGUUGAAUUUCGGGGUCAGUAGGUCGGUCGUGCCACUGGUAUGAACUGGUUUUACUGAUUCCUCCCUCUUGAGGAACUAUAAUGUCAUUAAUUUGGUGUUGUAGGGAAUCAGGACUGUUACUUUGAAAAAAUUAGAGUGUUUAAAGCAGGCUUUAGCUUGAAUACAUUAGCAUGGAAUAAUGAAAUAGGACGUUCGAUCCUAUUUUGUUGGUUUCUAGGAUUUGACGUAAUGAUUAAUAGGGAUAGUUGGGGGCAUUAGUAUUCAAUUGUCAGAGGUGAAAUUCUUGGAUUUAUUGAAGACUAACUACUGCGAAAGCAUUUGCCAAGGAUGUUUUCAUUAAUCAAGAACGAAAGUUAGGGAUCGAAGACGAUCAGAUACCGUCGUAGUCUUAACCAUAAACUAUGCCGACUAGGGAUCGGAUGAUGUUAAUUUUUUUAAUGUACUCAUUCGGCGCCU
rnacentral:rRNA from 1 species